rnacentral:lncRNA from 1 species
AUGUGGGGUGAUACUGGUCGGAGGUCGACCUCGUCGAGACCCCCGGAAAGGCGCUGCCGACGCUCACCUGAUCCUUUCCGUAGGUCGGUCGAUGCCCGCCAACUAUCCCCGGGUAUGGACGACUACGGGAUAGAUGACCGCUAUAUGGAUGGUUUGGAGGGAGAUAGGGAUGAUCCUAUGGAACAGCUCAUCCCCGAGGCCAACGACGACACAAACUUGUCUACACCGGGAGGCGAGGCUGAGCCAUUUGCACCAUCUGCGGGGAGAGCGGAGCGUUGGCGGCACUUAAAAAAAAUCAUGGUAAUAGUAGAUGGUCAACUGGUAACACGUGCUACCUAUAAACAUUAUGGAAAAUCUUUGUCUGCAUCUUCUAGUUCAGGAAUAGGACAUCUCAACCGGUAUUAUUUGACGCACCUCAAGGAUAAAGCACCGGCAGGAGCAAGGCAGACACAACUAAGCUUCGGACCCGACGGUUCUGUAAGAAAAUUUCUCAAGUACUUCACUGCUAUUCCACACCUUUAUUGUUUUGCUUUGGUACUUGAUCCUCAUAAAAAGUUGGAGAUCGUGGAGGCUGCUUUCAUAUCAAUAGGUGAUGCAAUGGGUCUUGAUUAUUCUGAAGCUUAUCAACAUGCUAGAGAUGAGUUGUUCAGGGUUUUCCGUCUGUACCAAACUAAGCUAAGUGUUGCUCGUCGGGUGCCUGAGGAAACCCCACAAAAAAAGCAAAGCAAAUCAAGUGCAAUGAAUUUGUGGAAAAAGAUCAGGGGCAAGGAAGAAGCCUCCUCAUCAGGUAGCAGGUCAAAUUGGAACCCAGAUGCAAAGCUUAACCAUUUCCUCAACACCAAUCACACCGAACAUGAUCGAACACUGGAUGGUGAAGAUGUUGAUCUACUUGAGUGGUGGAAAGAGAAAGAGCGGACUCUUCCUGUGCUAGCUCACUUUGCACGGGACGUUCUAUUGGUUCCGGCUUCUUCUGUCUCUUCGUAGCAUGCAUUUA